GUGCUGGGAUUACAGGCGUGAGCCACUGCGCCCAGCUGAAAACUUUAAUUUUUUUUUUUUUUUAAAGACAGGACUUGGUGGUUACUGGUUAGAGUGGAGGGAGAGAGGAGGUAUAAGUGGGCUUCUAUAAACAUUAUCUCAGAGUCUCUGAGCAGGCCAGCUCCAGAGGCCAUAACAGACUCUAGGCUCCUGCCUUGCCCAGACAGCCUGACAUGAGAUGGCUGAUACAAAGACAGUGUGUGACUUGCCUUGGUGUUGACAAAACCAUUGGUUCACCUAACAGCCUUAAGUAGUGGUUAAGAGCCCAGGCACUAUAGCCAACCUCGAUUCAAGUAUCAGCUCUUCCAGUGACUGUCCAAUGACCUUGAGCAGGUUACUUAACUUUUCCCUGCGUCAGUUUCCUUAUCUCUUAACGUGAGGAUGACAAUAAUACCUUCCUCAUAGGGAAGUUCUGACAACUAUCUGAAGACUAACUGAAUUCAUACUUAUUACACACAUGUAACCAUGCCUGUUAGUAACGCUUAAUGUAAUUUAUCAAAGUAACCUGGCAGAACUUCAUCAGUAAAAAUGGUGGACCUCCCUCCCACCCAAAACGGAGCCCCACACUCAAGGUAAGAACCAAGCCAGAAUAGCCUAAGAGCCUCUCUUGUCUGGGCCUCAUUUAUCUAUUUAUAAAAUCAGGAGAUUUGACUAGUAGCUCCUGAUCCUGCCAGCUUUGCCUUCUUGUGAUUUUGGGGGCUUGGCCUAAGUGUGAGACCCAGUGGUGUGUUAGGCAAGCUCCUACCAGCUUGUAAAAGCCAACUACUAAAUGUUUAGGAAAUGUUCAAAUGAACAACCAUGGAUAACUUGAAAUUGGCUAUGGUGGGAGUUAUUCAUACCAUGGAAGUUAGCCAAGUGCUCCCAACUAGGCCUUCCCCACCACCCUGUUCCCUACCGGAGGUGUUUGGUUUUUUUUUCUGCUUUCCAGCUUUUAUGAAAAUUAAUAACAUUAAUAGCUCAC
rnacentral:lncRNA from 10 species